rnacentral:lncRNA from 1 species
CUUGUCUGGCCUCACACUUCUGCUUCUCCAGGUUACUGGUAAUUCCUUGCAGCUAAUCCUGAAGAUCACAGCAGCUCCUGCACCCCAGAGCAGCAGGAGCCAAUUCAGGUGCCCCCAGAAGCCUGAGUCCAGUCCUCAGCCCUGAUUCCACUUGAGAAGCUGUAGCCGCCUGGAAACCAG